rnacentral:rRNA from 1 species
AUUGAACGCUGGCGGCAGGCCUAACCCAUGCAAGUCGAACGAGCGGCGGACGGGUGAGUAAUGUAUGGGGAUCUGCCCGAUAGAGGGGGAUAACUACUGGAAACGGUGGCUAAUACCGCAUACUAUCGGAUGAACCCAUAGGGGAUGAGCUAGUAGGUGGGGUAAAGGCGUACCUAGGCGACGAUCUCUAGCUGGUCUGAGAGGAUGAUCAGCCACACUGGGACGGCGACACGGCCCAGACUCCUACGGGAGGCAUCAGUGGGGACAAUGGCACUGUAGGCGCAAGCCUGAUGCAGCCAGGCCGCGUGUAAGAAGAGGGCCUUAGGGUUGUAAAGUACGUUCAGCGGGGAGGCGUUGCCCGCAGAAGAAGCACCGGCUAACUCCGUGCCAGCAGCCGCGGUAAUUC